rnacentral:lncRNA from 10 species
CAGCAUCACAAAGCAGCUCAGUAGCUCAAGGGAAAGGCCCUCUCGCCCUGGCUAGGGCUAGGAGGCCAGGCGCACAAGGCCUGGUACCCCCUGGCCAUGUCGGAGAAGGACUGGCAUGCACCCUUCUUGCUUCAAGUAUUAAUAUUCUCUUUGGGUUUGCAGGGUUUGUGCUGUGAGUUAGGGGGUGAGGGGGCGAGGUGCGAAGACUGGGGCAUGGCAAUCCCUGUUCACUGCCCAAAUCUACAUGCUGUCACCAGAUGGCAGCAUUCCCCACUUUUCCUGGAUGCCUGAGCAACUCCCAGCCAUCCUUGGGGCUGGAUGUCACAAUGUAAACAUGACCACACAAUAAACUAUAAUGGCAGUGAGGAGGAGCACGGGAUUAAUGUAGUGGGGAGAUCUGUCAUUAACUAGCUGUGGGAUUUUGGAAAAGUUGUUUCCUGUCCUUGGGCCGCAGUAACAGGAAGGGAUGGGAUAGAGACCUCUGAGGCAUGCUCUGCACUCCCUCCUGGCCUGGCUGGCGCACUAGUGACUGAACUGGCUCAGUGCAGACAUCUGAGGAGCGAGGCUGCAGGGCCCUCCC